rnacentral:rRNA from 1 species
UACGUAGGGGGCAAGCGUUGUCCGGAUUUAUUGGGCGUAAAGAGCGUGUAGGCGGCUUUGCAAGUCCGUUGUGAAAACUCGAGGCUCAACCUCGAGACGCCGGUGGAAACUGCAAAGCUAGAGUCCGGAAGAGGAGAGUGGAAUUCCUGGUGUAGCGGUGAAAUGCGCAGAUAUCAGGAAGAACACCCGUGGCGAAGGCGGCUCUCUGGGACGGUAUUGACGCUGAGGUGCGAAAGCGUGGGGAGCAAACAGG